AGAGUUUGAUCCUGGCUCAGAACGAACGCUGGCGGCGUGCCUAACACAUGCAAGUCGAACGGGGAUGGGGAGCUUGCUUCCUAUUCUAGUGGCGCACGGGUGAGUAACGCGUAGAUAAUCUGCCUGAUGAUCUGGGAUAACACUUCGAAAGAGGUGCUAAUACCGGAUAAGCCCACGGGGUCUUUGGAUCUUGCGGAAAA
rnacentral:rRNA from 1 species